UUCGCUUAUCAGCUUGCCUUUUGGCUAAGAUCAUGUAGUAUCUGUUUUUACUGUUUAAUAUUCGAUAUGUCUCUUCAUAGCGAGGACUACAUAUUACAGAUUUGCGUGAGGGCAGAAAUUUGAGCUUGCUCCUUUCUCUCCACGCACGAAUAAGACAGGUGUCGCUGGGAAUCACGCACCGCCU